rnacentral:rRNA from 1 species
GUGGGGAAUUUUGGACAAUGGGCGCAAGCCUGAUCCAGCCAUGCCGCGUGAGUGAAGAAGGCCUUCGGGUUGUAAAGCUCUUUCGGCCGGGAAGAAAUCGGCGACUCUAACAUAGUCGCUGGAUGACGGUACCGGACUAAGAAGCACCGGCUAACUACGUGCCAGCAGCCGCGGUAAUACGUAGGGUGCGAGCGUUAAUCGGAAUUACUGGGCGUAAAGCGUGCGCAGGCGGUUUUGUAAGACAGAUGUGAAAUCCCCGGGCUUAACCUGGGAACUGCGUUUGUGACUGCAAGGCUAGAGUACGGCAGAGGAGGGUGGAAUUCCUGGUGUAGCAGUGAAAUGCGUAGAUAUCAGGAGGAACACCGAUGGCGAAGGCAGCCCCCUGGGCAUGUACUGACGCUCAUGCACGAAAGAGUGGGGAGCAAACAGGAUUAGAAACCCUAGUAGUCC